GAUGAACGCUAGCUACAGGCUUAACACAUGCAAGUCGAGGGGCAGCAUGGUCUUAGCUUGCUAAGGCCGAUGGCGACCGGCGCACGGGUGAGUAACACGUAUCCAACCUGCCGUCUACUCUUGGACAGCCUUCUGAAAGGAAGAUUAAUACAAGAUGGCAUCAUGGGUCCGCAUGUUCACAUGAUUAAAGGUAUUCCGGUAGACGAUGGGGAUGCGUUCCAUUAGAUAGUAGGCGGGGUAACGGCCCACCUAGUCUUCGAUGGAUAGGGGUUCUGAGAGGAAGGUCCCCCACAUUGGAACUGAGACACGGUCCAAACUCCUACGGGAGGCAGCAGUGAGGAAUAGUGGUCAAUGGGCGAGAGCCUGAACCAGCCAAGUAGCGUGAAGGAUGACUGCCCUAUGGGUUGUAAACUUCUUUUAUAAAGGAAUAAAGUCGGGUAUGGAUACCCGUUUGCAUGUACUUUAUGAAUAAGGAUCGGCUAACUCCGUG
rnacentral:rRNA from 1 species